rnacentral:rRNA from 1 species
GUUUGAUCCUGGCUCAGAUUGAACGCUGGCGGCAUGCCUUACACAUGCAAGUCGAACGGCAGCACGGGAGCAAUCCUGGUGGCGAGUGGCGAACGGGUGAGUAAUAUAUCGGAACGUGCCCAGUCGUGGGGGAUAACGCAGCGAAAGUUGUGCUAAUACCGCAUAAGAUCUAAGGAUGAAAGCGGGGGAUCGCAAGACCUCGCGCGAGUGGAGCGGCCGAUAUCAGAUUAGCUAGUUGGUGGGGUAAAAGCUCACCAAGGCGACGAUCUGUAGCUGGUCUGAGAGGACGACCAGCCACACUGGGACUGAGACACGGCCCAGACUCCUACGGGAGGCAGCAGUGGGGAAUUUUGGACAAUGGGCGCAAGCCUGAUCCAGCCAUUCCGCGUGAGUGAAGAAGGCCUUCGGGUUGUAAAGCUCUUUUACCGAUGAAGAUAAUGACGGUAGUCGGAGAAUAAGCCCCGGCAAACUUCGUGCCAGCAGCCGCGGUAAUACGUAGGUGGCGAGCGUUAUCCGGAUUUAUUGGGUUUAAAGGGUGCGUAGGCGGCUUUAUAAGUCUGUGGUUAAAGGUAGCAGCUUAACUGUUUUACAUGCCAUAGAUACUGUAGAGCUUGAGUUAUUUGGAGGCAGCUAGAAUUUCCGGUGUAGCGGUGAAAUGCAUAGAUACCGGAAGGAAUACCGAUUGCGAAGGCAGGUUGCUACGAAUAAACUGACGCUGAUGCACGAAAGCGUGGGGAUCAAACAGGAUUAGAUACCCUGGUAGUCCACGCCCUAAACGAUGUCUACUAGUUGUCGGGUCUUAAUUGACUUGGUAACGCAGCUAACGCGUGAAGUAGACCGCCUGGGGAGUACGGUCGCAAGAUUAAAACUCAAAGGAAUUGACGGGGACCCGCACAAGCGGUGGAUGAUGUGGUUUAAUUCGAUGCAACGCGAAAAACCUUACCCACCUUUGACAUGUACGGAAGAUUUAAGAGAUUAGAUUGUGCUCGAAAGAGAGCCGUAACACAGGUGCUGCAUGGCUGUCGUCAGCUCGUGUCGUGAGAUGUUGGGUUAAGUCCCGCAACGAGCGCAACCCUUGUCAUUAGUUGCCAGCAUUAAGUUGGGCACUCUAAUGA